rnacentral:rRNA from 1 species
AUUGAACGCUGGCGGCAGGCCUAACACAUGCAAGUCGAACGAGUGGCGGACGGGUGGGUAAUGUCUGGGAAACUGCCUGAGGGGGGGGGAUAAAUACUGGAAACGGUCGCUAAUCCAGCAUAACCUCGUGUGUGCACAGAUGGGAUUAGCUAGUGGGUGGGGUAAAGGCUCACCUGGGCCACGAGCCCGAGCUGGUCUGCGAGGAUGACCAGCCACACUGGAACUGAGACACGGUCCAGACUCCUACGGUAGUCAGCAGUGGGGAAUAUUGCACAAUGGGCGCAAGCCUGAUGCAGCCAUGCCGCGUGUAUGAAGAAGGCCUUCGGGUUGUAAAGUACUUUCAGCGGGGAGGCGUUACCCGCAGAAGAAGCACCGGCUAACUCCGUGCCAGCAGCCGCGGUAAUUC